rnacentral:rRNA from 1 species
CCUACGGGUGGCAGCAGUCGGGAAUAUUGCGCAAUGGAGGAAACUCUGACGCAGUGACGCCGCGUGAGUGAAGAAGUAUUUCGGUAUGUAAAGCUCUAUCAGCAGGGAAGAAAGAAAUGACGUUCCCUGUCUAUGAAGCCCGGGCUAACUACGUGCCAGCAGCCGCGGUAAUACGUAGGGGGCAAGCGUUAUCCGGAUUUACUGGGUGUAAAGGGGGCGUAGACGGCGAUGCAAGUCUGAAGUGAAAGGCGGGGGCCCAACCCUCGGACUGCUUUGGAAACUGUAGGGCUGGAGUGCAGGAGAGGUAAGUGGAAUUCCUAGUGUAGCGGUGAAAUGCGUAGAUAUUAGGAGGAACACCAGUGGCGAAGGCGGCUUACUGGACUGUAACUGACGUUGAGGCUCGAAAGCGUGGGGAGCAAACAGGAUUAGAUACCCCAGUAGUC